CCAAUCCUGACUCGCAAGAGUCUUCAACCCCAUGUGCACUUAUUAUUGUUUCUGGGUGUCCUUCUAAAGGCGCCCAACCUUAUAAACCUUACUAUCAGUCUGAAAUUAUUUUAAAUAAUAAAAAA
rnacentral:misc_RNA from 1 species